rnacentral:rRNA from 1 species
AUGCGUUCGACGAGAUUUUUUUUUGAGUUCGACGGGAAAUCUAAAAAAUCUGAUGUUGCUCUUCAAGCACUUGAACCCGCUUGGAUCACGGCGAGACAGAUAGAAGCAGGACGAAGAGCAAUAACACGAUAUGCACGUCGUGGUGGAAAAAUAUGGGUACGUAUAUUUCCUGACAAACCGGUUACACUAAGACCCACGAAAACACGUAUGGGCUCGGGAAAGGGGUCCCCCGAAUAUUGGGUAUCCGUUGUUAAACCUGGUCGUAUACUUUAUGACCCAGCACUAAAAAACCCACUUUUUUACGAUUACGAGGUUUAUUCGAAGAGGAAAUUGCAUCCUGUAACCACAACAUUUCUCCUUUUUUUUCUACUCCAGGCUUUGCAACAUUUCGAAAUCGGGAAAUUGUGA